AGAGGGUUCGGCCCUCGGCUGACGGCUCAGUAACACGUGGAUAAUCUGCCCUUAGGUGGAGGAUAAUCUCGGGAAACUGAGGAUAAUACUCCAUAGAUCUAGGAUGCUGGAAUGCGUCUAGAUUGAAAGCUCCGGCGCCUAAGGAUGAGUCUGCGGACUAUCAGGUUGUAGUCAGGGUAAAGACCUGACUAGCCUACGACGGAUACGGGUUGUGAGAGCAAUAACCCGGAGACGAUAUCUGAGACACGAUAUCGGGCCCUACGGGGCGCAGCAGGCGCGAAAACUUCACACUGUGCGAAAGCGCGAUGAGGGAAUCCCAAGUGUUUGCUCGUAAGAGUAAACUGUUUCUUUGUUUAAAACGCAGAGAGAGUAAGGGCUGGGUAAGACGGGUGCCAGCCGCCGCGGUAAUACCUGCAGCUCAAGUGGUGAUCAUUAUUAUUGGGCCUAAAACGUCCGUAGCCGGUUUAGUAAAUGCCUGGGUAAAUCGUGUAGCUUAACUAUACGACUUCUGGGUAGACUACUAAACUUGAGACCGGGUGAGGCUAGAGGUACUCCUGGGGUAGAGGUGAAAUUCUGUAAUCCUAGGGGGACCACCAGUGGCGAAGGCGUCUAGCUAGAACGGGUCUGACGGUGAGGGACGAAGCCCUGUGGCACAAACCGGAUUAGAUACCCGGGUAGUCCAGGGUGUAAACGCUGCUUGCUUGAUGUUAGUUGGGCUCCGAGCCCAACUAGUGUCGGAGAGAAGUUGUUAAGCANGCUGCCUGGGAAGUACGGUCGCAAGGCUGAAACUUAA
rnacentral:rRNA from 1 species